CACACACACACACACACACACACACACACACACACACACACACACACACACACCACUACAAGGGCCUUGUCUUUGAGGGUCUCCAUUGAAUGUGCUUGAGGAGGAUACAUUUACGUUUAUCAAAGUUGUUCCUUCUGUGUCUCUGAUAGGAUUAUAACAUGCUGUUACUGCAGUACAUAUCAGAAUGUUACUGCAGUACAUAUCAGAAUGUUACUGCAGUACAUAUCAGAAAUGUUACUGCAGUACAUAUCAGAAUGUCCCUUCUGUGUCUCUGAUAGGAUUAUAACACGCUGUUACUGCAGUACAUAUCAGAAUGUUACUGCAGUACAUAUCAGAAUGUUACUGCAGUACAUAUCAGAAUGUUACUGCAGUACAUAUCAGAAUGUUACUGCAGUACAUAUCAGAAUGUUACUGACAGUACAUAUCAGAAUGUUACUGACAGUACAUAUCAGAAUGUUACUGCAGUACAUAUCAGAAUGUUACUGCAGUACAUAUCAGAAUGUUACUGACAGUACAUAUCAGAAUGUUACUGCACAGUACAUAUCAGAAUGUCCCUUCUGUGUCUCUGAUAGGAUUAUAACACGCUGUUACUGCAGUACAUAUCAGAAUGUUACUGCAGUACAUAUCAGAAUGUUACUGCAGUACAUAUCAGAAUGUUACUGCAGUACAUAUCAGAAUGUUACUGCAGUACAUAUCAGAAUGUUACUGCAGUACAUAUCAGAAUGUUACUGACAGUACA
rnacentral:lncRNA from 13 species